rnacentral:rRNA from 1 species
GGAAAUUCAUCGUCAAAGUAUUUGUCAUUAAUACAAAUUAUGAUAUGGUAAAUUAUCCUUGUGGUUAGUAUACUGCACGUGUUUGUAUUAUUUUGUCAGAUAUGUCGGAGUGCACUUCUCUUCUAGUAGAACGUUGCUACCCAUCUUAUUCUCAUUGAGAAAAGGUGCACCUAGAGCGAACACGUUGGGACCCGAAAGAUGGUGAACAAAGUGUUCCUGAUCAGCUGUUCGACGGUAUUCGUAAGGUAAUGAGUCGCAUUUUUUUUUGCUUUAUCUCCUUUACAUGUGCGAUUAAUACUUGGCAAUAUGGAUUUAGUGCUAUCGCUGAUAUUAAUCAAGUGUUUGUAAACGGUAUUCUUUAAGUGACUUUUUACCGGUCUGCAACGCUACUGCUUUGGGUACUUUCGAGACCCCUCUUGAAACACGGACCAGAGACUCUAACGUGUACGCAUCUCUUUGAGAUUUUUUUAAAACAAAUCUAAGCGCAUAAUGAAAGUGAAUAUUGUCAUAUGAUAUUUAGGGGAAUAUGAUUUGCACCACGAUGUAUUUUCACAUUCCCGGGGCA